GUCCUUCCUGGUCUUUUGUUAACUGAUCACCUGUCUGGGCAGCAAGAAUUGACAGCUUCAACUGGAAAACUCAUUUAGGUGGAGUUCUGAGCAAGUCUGCUAAUGAUGAACUUCCUUCUUCAGUUCUUGACAGAAACCGUCUCCAGUGUUUCCAUUGCCUCAACGCAGCUCGGAGGACUUCUCUGCCCACUGUGGUCUGGCUGCCCCCCACCCCCCCGCUCCCGGCACCCACUCCUCCUGGAAGGGCUGCUCCUGCCAAGGUCGUCAACAACCUCCUUGCUCCAGACCAUGCCCAGCGCCUCCUUGGUCCGCACUGUCCUUGGCAUCCUGUCCCCCGGGGGACCAGCUCCCAGGCUCGGCUCCUGCCUCUGCACCGCCUCCCUCUCCAUCUCUGUUGCAGGCUCUCCUUCCCACCCCCGGCCUUGAACACAGCCCUCCUCUGCUUUUUCCCCAUCACAACGGGGCUAUUUCUCCUGUGUGUCGCAGGCACCGAAUUUCAUUAUGUCACAAGCGGAGCGAUGCCUCUCAUACCCCCACCCAUACCUGCCCAGACCUGAGAGCUGCUGUCCUAUGCUCCCCGCCCAGGAAAGCCACCAUCGUCCACAAGGGGGCUUGUCCCCUCCCCUCCCCCACCAUCCCCCACAAAUCGUUGCCCAGAGCUGCCCUUGACCUUUCAGAUCCCCUCACCUCUGCCUCCUUCCAUCCACCCCGGAUGCCACGAUUCCUGCCUGGAUUCCUGGAAGUGCCCCCUCACUAGUCUCCCUUCUCUCCAACCACUUCUCCAAACCACAGACCGAAUGCUCUUUCUAAAAUGAAAAUCUUGGAGUUCCCAUGGUGGCUCAGCAGGUGAAGAACCCAACAUAGUGUCCAUGAGGAUGCGGGUUCGAUUCCUGGCCUCGCUCAGUGGGUUAAGGAGUAGGCAUUGCUGCAAGCUGCAGUGUAGGUGGCAGAUGCUGCUGAGAUGCCAUUGCUGUGGCUGUGGCUAGGCUGGCAGCUGCAGCUCCCACUGACCCCUAGCCUAGGAACUUCCAUAUGCCGCAGGUUCAGCCCUUGAAAGAAAAAAUAAAAUAAUAAAAUAAAA
rnacentral:lncRNA from 1 species